ensembl:snoRNA
GUGCACAUUUCAUUGUCUUUUUUCUUUAUUUCAAGAGGAAAGAUAUGUAUCUGAUGUGCUAAACAAACCUUUGGAGGUUAAUUAGCAGCAUGACUAAUUUAGCCAUUGCUGCCAGUCACCUUCAAACAAGU